AUGCCUCCGAAGAAGCACCAGACGAAAACAGCCAACGUCUCCAGCUCCCUGGACCUGGAGUCGGAGGACAUCAGCCUGGAGACAACCGUGCCCACCACCGAGGACGUCUCCUCGUCGGACGAGCAGAAGGGCGCCUCCCAAAAGGUGACCCGCCAGCUGAUCGAGCGGAAGGAGCUGCUGCACAACGUCCAGCUGUUAAAAAUCGAGCUUUCUCAGAAGAACCUUGUUAUAGACAACAUGAAGGCGGACCAUAUGUCUAAGAUUGAGGAACUGGAGGAGAAACUAAAUGAUGCUCUACACCAGAAACAAGUGCUGGCUCUGAGACUGGACAGCCAACUUAAAAUUGCUCAGGAGGAGAACAGGAAGCAGCAGGGUCUGCGUAAGCAGGAGAUGGAUGCCAUCCUGCUCAGGCAGCAGCAGCUGGAGGAGACCAACCGACACCUGUGUGAGAAGGCCGGAGAGCUGCGGCGGUCUCUGAGGGAUUUAGAUAUCUCCCAGGACAGGUACCACGAGCUGCGCGACCUCCCUGAGGAGAAGCUCUCUAUACAGGAAUAUGUAGCUAUGCGUUUCUACGAGGUGGUGACUCCUCUGCGGGGUCAGGUAGCUGAGCUUAGUGUGAAGAGAGGAAGUUUGACUGAAGACCUGGAUACACACAGAACCCAGAUGAAGGCUUUGAUGGAGAGCUAUGAGGAGGAGCGUCGGCUGCGUACGGAGCUGGAGCUGAGGAGCCAGAGACUGACCUUAGAACUAGCUGAUACCAAGCAGCAGAUUCAAGAAGGAGACUAUCGUCGUGAAAACUACCCCAACGUUAAACGUGAGCGUGACAACUUUGAAGCAGAACUGAAGGAACUGAAGAGGAGGUUGGAGACGUUAGAUUUGAGUCACACAGCUCUGACCAGGGAGAGAGACACCCUCAGAAAAGAGGUGGCGAUAUUGCAGCAGUCAGUGAGUCUCCUGCAGAAAGACAAGGAGUACCUGCACAGGCAGAACAUGGAGCUAAAUGUGCGCUGUGCACAUGAAGAAGAUCGCCUGGAGCGACUGCAGGUGCAAUUAGAAGACACUAAGAAGGCCAGAGAAGAUGCCUAUGAAAAAUAUGUAGCAUCCAGAGACCACUAUAAAUCAGAGUAUGAGGCCAAGUUGAGAGAGGAGCUGGAGAACAUCAGACUGAAAACCUGUCAGGAGAUAGACAACCUCCAGAGAACCUCCAGGGAGAUGUAUGAGAGGGAGAACAGAAACCUGCGUGAGGCAAGAGACAAUGCUGUUUUGGAGAAGGACAGAGCAGUGGCUACAGAGAAAGACAUCCAGUCCAGAUAUGACCAGCUGCUGGAACAGUUUCGUCAGCUCCAGCUGGGUACCGACAGCCGGGUGGCAGAACUGUCCAAUCAGGCCAAGCUGCACUCCUUCGAGGCCGAGCGCGCUCAGAUGGUGAAGGAGGAGACGGCCAAGGCCCUGGCCCAGUGCCAGGUGGAGUGUGAGAAACAACAGAAGAAGCUGGAGCUCCUUACUCAGGAGUUUUACAGGCUGCAGACAUCCUCGGAGAAGCAGGUCGCAGAGUUGCAAGCUCGAACUGUCCAGCAGGCAACUCAGCUUGAGACGUAUGAAAAGCUGGAGCAAGAGUUGGACCACAUCACCAUGCAGGCAGCUGAAAUUGAGAAUGAAGAGGAGGCAGAGAGAGUUUUGUUCUCAUACGGCUACGGAGCAAACGUUCCCACAACAGCCAAAAGACGGCUGAAACAGAGCGUACACCUGGCCCGCAGGGUUCUGCAGCUCGAGAGGCAGAACACAUCGCUGAGGAGGGAGCUGGAUAGAACCAAGUCACAGACAGGACAAAUAUCCCAAGAGCUGUCGUCAGCCAACCAGCUGCUCCAGCAGGCGCAGCAGCCCUAUAGCUACCUGAUUGAAACGGUGAAACAAAGGGACGCGCAGAUCGGCACACUGAAGGAACGCAUCGCCUCGCUGGAGGACGACGUCAGUUCUCUGAGGAAAGAGAGGAAUUCUCUGCAGCAGGUGAAGAACGACAUGGCGGCCGAUCUAGAGCGUCUCCUUAGCCAUCGAGAGGAGUUAGCUGUGAUGAAGCAGGUCCUGAUCAGCAUGAGAUCCAGACAGGGAGAUGCGCUAAACCUGUUGGAAGCAAACAGUGGUGCAAUCAAGGGCUCUGGUGCAGGAAAGCACCAGUCCAAACGGAUCAACAGGACCGAAGAAGAGUCGCCAAACAAACCCAAACCCACUGUGUUCACCAAGAAAGAUGUUCCUGAUUGGUACCAAAAGCUGAAGCAGAGGCCUAAAUGAACAUUUAUCUUUCUACUGGUGCUAUUGAUUCUUACUCAGGACUCCAAGAGUUAGAGGAUAAAUGCUACUCUGGCCUAGAACCAGAGGUUUGCAGAUACUGAUGGCUACAGAUAAAAACAAUGCAGGAGCCUUUUAUUUGCACAAGCUGAAGCUUCUUCGACUUUAAAAAACAAAUGUUUUUCCAUGUUAUCAUUACGUGGACAGUGAAUAUUGUAUAGCUACUUUAUACCUUGCUAUAUUUGUCUUUUUGAUCCAGUUCUUUUUCUGGAUGUACCAAUAAAACUUCCCAGUCCACCAUAUUGUUCAUGAAAUAACCAGAACAUGUAGUACCACAUGAUUCGUAUGUCUGGUAUUAUUUCUCUCAGAUAUCGCUUAAGGUAUUUUCUAGAAUAAACUGCUUCAUAAACAAAUUAAAUGUGAUC